rnacentral:rRNA from 1 species
AUACGUAGGUGGCAAGCGUUAUCCGGAAUUAUUGGGUUUAAAGGGUGCGUAGGUGGUUUGAUAAGUCAGCGGUGAAAGUUUGCAGCUUAACUGUAAAAAUGCCGUUGAAACUGUCGGACUUGAGUGUAAAUGAGGUAGGCGGAAUGCGUGGUGUAGCGGUGAAAUGCAUAGAUAUCACGCAGAACUCCGAUUGCGAAGGCAGCUUACUAAGCUACAACUGACACUGAAGCACGAAAGCGUGGGGAUC